UAAUUUCAAAGGCAUUACAGUUCUUCUUGAAAUACUAGGCCAGGACAACCACACUAAGACCAUAACAAGAGAAAGACAGAAAUUAAAAACUGAUUUCAAAUUAGGGAAAUAGAAGGUCAACUAAAAUCUUGACUGGGUGGACAGAACCAUUAAAUAGCUUCUCAGGCCCCAUAAAAUCCAUGACAUAGAAAAUCGAAACAUCGUGGCCCUUGUCUAAGUGCUGUCUCAGAAGAACUGUGAUUUGCAAAGGGUCACCUGCUUCUGUAACCCACGAAGAUUUUCAAGUGCAGAUCCACAGGGACAUCUUUGGGAGGUGUAAUUGGGAUGCGGAUGGAACUGGAGAGGGUGUGAAUGCUGGGAUGUACGACAUGGCUUUCACCUGCAAAAAUUCCCUCUGCAAAGAUCAACACUGCCCGGAUGACGGUGUCUGCAGGAAGAGGGAAAACAGUUCAAGAACUACUCCAAGAUGGCAAAAGUGCCUACAAACACCAGCUGUCAAUAAUUUCUUACCAUUAGAAGUGGAAAUGCACAGUUCUGCAUGAGCAGCUUGAGUCUCGCUCCCCAGAUUGACUGAGAGGACGGUGUGGAGCUUGGUGUUGGCUGGGAUGAUGCCCCGUUGCCCAUCAGUUUCAUUCAGUGGACCACUCAAUUCAGCCUGCAAAACACCCGCCUGCUUCCAACUGGGUCACCAAAACAGCGAACCAACAAUUUUAAAUAAUAUGGCUAUUCAGCUUCAAAAGGCAGGGUGUCCAUCAUCUUAUUUUAUUAAUCUGAUUCUUUAGAAUUCAGAGAACUCACCUCAUCAGUGCCCCCUUGCUCUGUCUGGCCUGUGGGAAAAUAACUUUGCCCCUCUCUAUGGUUAUGGUCCACUGUACCCCGUCAUGCCUUGCACUUUUUUUUUGUAUUGUUCUUUUAAAGUAACAAAAAAAAUUCACUU